rnacentral:rRNA from 1 species
GGGACGGGUGAGUAACACGUGGAUAACCUACCUAUAAGACUGGGAUAACUUCGGGAAACCGGAGCUAAUACCGGAUAAUAUAUUGAACCGCAUGGUUCAAUAGUGAAAGACGGUUUUGCUGUCACUUAUAGAUGGAUCCGCGCCGCAUUAGCUAGUUGGUAAGGUAACGGCUUACCAAGGCAACGAUGCGUAGCCGACCUGAGAGGAUGAUCGGCCACACUGGAACUGAGACACGGUCCAG